AAAAUUUAAAAAAAAAAAAUGACGCCAUCGGUUGACUUUACCAUACCUCGGAUUCUAACUGAGAAAUGCAGAAUAUUCAGUCGCACGUUGCGUGCCCUAUGAGCCUGCGAAGGCUGACGGCGUCGGACAGACGCCGGUUUACGUUGUUAGGAAUUUAAAGAAUUCAAAAAUCGGUUUAACUUGCUGCAGCGGCGAGGUUGUCCUACCGGAAGCCGGUUUUAUAACCUAAAGCCGUAAGCGCAAGAUUCAGACUUCUGCAUACCUGGAAAAUUGAGUCAUAAUAGCGGCGAUUUUAGUCACCGACUUUUACAUUUCGGAAUUCAAAAGCCAAGUGCCAAUGGGUCCUUACAAUAAUCUUAUCUUUCAAAAAUAUGACGACAACUUUCCCAAAUGCCAAUGGGUACCCUGUGUAUACGUUUAUAAUAUCCACCGCGACUUCCUAUACAAGAAAUAGUUGACAUUCCAUCGCUUUAUUUUGGGCUUCAAUUUUUUUUCCCCCCUCUGAAGAAACGAACUCUCUUGUUAUCAUCGGCAUCGAUGUGCCCUGCCGAACGUUUGACUUUGAUGGGAAAAAAAAGAAAACAAAAAAAACAACAAUAUCGUAAUACACUUUUUAUCUCCUCCUCCUCCUCCUCCUCCUCCUCCUCGGGCGAGUCUUUAAAUAUCUCUGGUUUACGUUUACUUCGGUCGAAAUUUCGAACACAAUGCCGUCUCGAUUUCACCAGGGUCAAUGGAUGGUAACUAGUGUGAGUUUACUAUAGGAUAGUUAAAAUACCCGCGUAAAUGCCAGAAGCGGGUGGUCACCGCGGUCUCUGCUCGAACAAUGGACGGACAACUCACGCCGAAUAUUUUAGCAAAUACCUACAACUGCGCUAAAUAGUUUACCUCGUUACACGCGAAGAAUUUGAAAUCGGAAAAUUAUAAAAGAAAACAAAUGAAACAAAACUCUCAAAAAGGAUGACAUUCUCGGGUGUUUUUAUUAAACUUGCAUCAUGCGCUGCGCUCUUUGAUUUUGUUCUUAUUCACUCUUGUGUAUGACUGAUGCAAAAUUAUGACUAAAACAUUUCUAGAUGAGAACGUUCACACGAAACGGAUCAAUGUCAUCACGAUUAGCUAGAUGUAAGCCAGGUAAAAUUCAACUGACUCACCAGAUCAACUGAACACGCGCGUCUACCGCGAGUACGCAUAUCGAAUUAUACUAUACCUACAUAUAAGCACGUUUGUAUCUUUCCUCAAAUUCUAUCAAGAUCAGUUGCAGUUUCAUAUCGCGUUUUUGAUCGUCGAGUUUUAUUGCUGAUUCCGAUAGCGACCCAGAUAACGUAAAAUCAGACGAACUGGACGGAGGUUCGGCUACAAUCUACGCGUGCAACAACUCGGAAAAAAAUGUGUCAAUGCGAUCGGGUAUUUCGUAUUUUCAAAAAAAUUUUCUUCUUUCUCUUUUUUCUUCCCAUUUCUUUCGCAUGUUCGAUUUUAUAACCGAUAUCUGCGGCAACUGGCGCCAAGUUGGGACGGAUUCCGCAAAAAUCCAGACUAAACGCGGAGAUUGGAAUUAAUAAUCGAACCGAAGAAAAGAGGAUCACAGAGGAUGAAAAAAAAUUCGAAUGAAACGCCGUAUCCGCAGUCGAAACCCGGAAAAAUUUCAAAAUUUUCCAGACAAUUGAAAAAAAAUGGACACGCGGCCACACAUGCCACUAGAUGGUCGAAAAUUUUCAUAGGCGAAAAAAAGAAAAAAAAAAAACCUGUCGAACCAGAAGAAAGCGCGUACUAGCCGCAGCGCAAAGAUGACAGGUGUGGUUCGACAAAGUGAUCAAAUAGAUAGUUGGCUACCAUGCAAUGAACAUAUAUAUUUUUACAAACACAUGUGACACACAUAUGUAUAUUCUAAUUGCAGUCACAUCACUGCCAUAAUGUAUACGAAGAAGAAGACGUUUUUAAUGACAUAAGUCUUUAUUCAACGUCGUCUCGUUUAUCGAAGCAUUAUUAUACACCGUAAAGUAUGCGUGUGUGUACAUGAGACUUUAAGUGAGAGCUAAUGAAAUAACAAUAAAUAACGUGGUGGCGAUAACGGUUAGGUGUGGUAUACGGUGUGUUGUAAAACAAGCUACCGCAUAUAAUCUAGCUUUGUUAGACAUUGAGAAAAAUUACGUCAAUACGAGAUUCGUAAUUUUACGAUGCGCUCGGAAUACGCGAGGCAUUUCGCUUGCCAAAUUGCGAUCGCAUUAAUUAGUUGAGCGAAUUCUUAUAAUCACUGCCGCAGUUUCCGUAAACGACGCGUCCUGCACGUACGAUAGCGUAACGACGACGGGUGACGUCAUCGCGACGCCGGGGAUCCUGGGAUCUUCCGCGGUUUUUUUAGAAAUUUUCCCACUCCACUUUCAAGGGGGAUAUUGAAAACGGCGGAAAUUACGUCUAACGAUGCCCCCAAAGCAGGGGGAAUUUCCCGAACGACGAUCUCGCGACCGCGAUGCAUCGUCGGAUCGUUGUAAUUUGAAAUUGAUUUCGUUAUUUCAAAUUUAUUUUUGAUCAAAGACGGAGGUUCAAUGCACCCCAAGUGCACUGUGCCGCGAUUUGACCUCACGCGGUUCGUGGAACUUCACUCUGGAUGCGGGCCAUAAAUCAAAGUAUCUUCCUAUACUGCGCGGCUCUAAUUUAUUCAACGAUGUUCAUCGAUCAAUUAAACAACAAUUAUACACAGAUAUUCGAUAUAACAUCACAUGUGCACGCAAUUGUUUGGACAUCUCGCCUUAUCUUCGGCUCUUUUCCUCUUAGUUGUACAUUAUGCGGUUCUUCCCGCUCGUCCCCACCUACCGAUUCAACGCCUGUGUGUAUUCACACGUAAUUAUCUCUGUGUACCGUGAUUAAUUUCCUGAUAUGUAUUAUAUAAUUUAUACAAACAAAUCACAAGUGAAUUACACACCGAGGACAAUCAAAGUUCAUAAAAUGAAGAAUACGUAUAAUGAAUAAUAAUUAUUCUCCCUAUCGCUCGUAUAUUUGUAUAAACAAAUUUAUUGUUAUAAUCUGUGUUAACUACCAUCCGUAGGUAUCGAACAAACGUUUAUUUGGAUAAAUAAAAUGUAAUGCAGAUACGUAUGAACUUUGAGAAAUUUCAUUGAUUUUUAUGCAAUAAGAAGUUUGAUCCAAUUCGUCGAUAAAGAAGUUGAUGCAGAUGUAGAUCGUGCGGGAUGUACGCGGUCGGUAAGGUAGGAGAGGGAGAAAAAUAUUGGGGGAAAAAAAAAAAAAAGAAGAUAAUGCCAACGAACACCCACCGGACAUCACUCUUAUAUAAUUUUAGAGUAGCUUCGUUACGAGGACGUAUACAUAACAUAUUUUUAAAUGAGCACAGUGCAAUGAUGUUGGACA